UACGUAGGUGACCAGCGUUGUCCGGAUUUACUGGGCGUAAAGAGCGCGCAGGCGGUCGUUCAAGUCGAGUGUGAAAGCCCCCGGCUCAACUGGGGAGGGUCAUUCGAUACUGAUCGACUCGAAGGCAGGAGAGGGAAGCGGAAUUCCCGGCGUAGUGGUGAAAUGCGUAGAUAUCAGGAGGAAUACCGAUGGCGAAGGCAGGUCUCUGGGCUGACACUGACGCUCAUGCACGAAAGCGUGGGGAGCAAACAGG
rnacentral:rRNA from 1 species